rnacentral:rRNA from 1 species
CGGGGGGCAGCAAUUAGGAAUCUUGCACAAUGGGGGAAACCCUGAUGCAGCGACGUCGCGUGGAGGAUGACGGCCUUCGGGUUGUAAACUCCUUUUCUCAAGGAAGAACACAAUGACGGUACUUGAGGAAUAAGCCCCGGCUAACUCCGUGCCAGCAGCCGCGGUAAUACGGAGGGGGCGAGCGUUGUCCGAAUUUACUGGGCGUAAAGAGCGCGUAGGCGGAGCCGUAAGUCUGUCGUGAAAGCCCGGAGCUCAACUCCGGAGGGUCGAUGGAUACUGCAGCUCUUGAAGGCACUAGGGGGAGAUGGAAUUACAGGUGUAGCGGUGAAAUGCGUAGAUAUCUGUAGGAACACCAGUGGCGAAGGCGGUCUCCUGGGGUGCACUUGACGCUGAGGCGCGAAAGCUGGGGGAGCGAACGGGAUUAGAUACCCGAGU